UACGUAGGGGGCUAGCGUUGUCCGGAUUUAUUGGGCGUAAAGAGCGUGUAGGCGGCCAGGUAGGUCUGCUGUGAAAACUCGAGGCUCAACCUCGAGACGUCGGCGGAAACCAUCUGGCUAGAGUCCGGAAGAGGAGAGUGGAAUUCCUGGUGUAGCGGUGAAAUGCGCAGAUAUCAGGAAGAACACCCGUGGCGAAGGCGGCUCUCUGGUUGGAUACUGACGCUGAGACGCGAAAGCGUGGGGAGCAAACAGG
rnacentral:rRNA from 1 species